rnacentral:rRNA from 1 species
GAUGAACGCUGGCGGCGUGCCUAAUACAUGCAAGUCGAGCGAACGGACGAGAAGCUUGCUUCUCUGAUGUUAGCGGCGGACGGGUGAGUAACACGUGGAUAACCUACCUAUAAGACUGGGUUAACUUCGGGAAACCGGAGCUAAUACCGGAUAAUAUUUUGAACCGCAUGGUUCAAAAGUGAAAGACGGUCUUGCUGUCACUUAUAGAUGGAUCCGCGCUGCAUUAGCUAGUUGGUAAGGUAACGGCUUACCAAGGCAACGAUGCAUAGCCGACCUGAGAGGGUGAUCGGCCACACUGGAACUGAGACACGGUCCAGACUCCUACGGGAGGCAGCAGUAGGGAAUCUUCCGCAAUGGGCGAAAGCCUGACGGAGCAACGCCGCGUGAGUGAUGAAGGUCUUCGGAUCGUAAAACUCUGUUAUUAGGGAAGAACAUAUGUGUAAGUAACUGUGCACAUCUUGACGGUACCUAAUCAGAAAGCCACGGCUAACUACGUGCCAGCAGCCGCGGUAAUACGUAGGUGGCAAGCGUUAUCCGGAAUUAUUGGGCGUAAAGCGCGCGUAGGCGGUUUUUUAAGUCUGAUGUGAAAGCCCACGGCUCAACCGUGGAGGGUCAUUGGAAACUGGAAAACUUGAGUGCAGAAGAGGAAAGUGGAAUUCCAUGUGUAGCGGUGAAAUGCGCAGAGAUAUGGAGGGACACCAGUGGCGAAGGCGACUUUCUGGUCUGUAACUGACGCUGAUGUGCGAAAGCGUGGGGAUCAAACAGGAUUAGAUACCCUGGUAGUCCACGCCGUAAACGAUGAGUGCUAAGUGUUAGGGGGUUUCCGCCCCUUAGUGCUGCAGCUAAUGCAUUAAGCACUCCGCCUGGGGAGUACGACCGCAAGGUUGAAACUCAAAGGAAUUGACGGGGACCCGCACAAGCGGUGGAGCAUGUGGUUUAAUUCGAAGCAACGCGAAGAACCUUACCAAAUCUUGACAUCCUUUGACAACUCUAGAGAUAGAGCCUUCCCCUUCGGGGGACAAAGUGACAGGUGGUGCAUGGUUGUCGUCAGCUCGUGUCGUGAGAUGUUGGGUUAAGUCCCGCAACGAGCGCAACCCUUAAGCUUAGUUGCCAUCAUUAAGUUGGGCACUCUAAGUUGACUGCCGGUGACAAACCGGAGGAAGGUGGGGAUGACGUCAAAUCAUCAUGCCCCUUAUGAUUUGGGCUACACACGUGCUACAAUGGACAAUACAAAGGGCAGCGAAACCGCGAGGUCAAGCAAAUCCCAUAAAGUUGUUCUCAGUUCGGAUUGUAGUCUGCAACUCGACUACAUGAAGCUGGAAUCGCUAGUAAUCGUAGAUCAGCAUGCUACGGUGAAUACGUUCCCGGGUCU